rnacentral:misc_RNA from 1 species
UCAACCCUCAAGCCUGGCUUGUCAUUGAACCCCUUGUCGUGAAAGACGGGUUCGAAAGAUAAUGGCGGUGUCGUGUCGACUCCGGAUGCAACGAGCUCUCGUAGCACGCAUUUUGGCGGUUGGCCGGCCCGGUCUAUUUAAUAUUUCUAU